AUGUUAGAGAUAAAUCCUCUUGCCGAGACAGCUGAUAAAAAGCUAGUUGCUGCUGAUUCAAAGUUGAGUUUCGAUGAUAACGCCGCAUUUAGGCUGAAAGAAAUAUUUGCACUGCGUGAUACAACACAGGAGGACCCCAGAGAGGUGGCUGCUGCUAAAGCAGAUUUGAAGUGCAUUGGGCUUGAUGGAGAGAUUGGUUGCAUGGUGAAUGGUGCAGGAUUGGCAAUGGCUACGAUGGACAUCAUUAAGCUGCAUGGUGGUACACCUGCCAAUUUUCUUGAUGUUGGUGGGAGUGCAUCCGAGGGACAGGUUGUGGAAGCAUUUAAGAUACUGACUUCAGAUGAUGGAGUGAAGGCAAUUCUAGUGAACAUUUUUGGAGGUAUCGUGCAGUGCGACGAGAUAGCAAGGGGAAUAGUGAAUGCAGCUAAACAGGUUGAUCUUAAGGUCCCUGUUGUUGUUCGGCUAGAAGGCACCAAUGCAGACCAAGGGAAAAGGAUUCUUAAGGAAAGUGGAAUGACAUUGAUGACCGCAGAAGAUCUUGAUGAUGCUGCGGAGAAGGCUGUAAAAGCAUCGGUGAAAUGA
rnacentral:rRNA from 1 species